AAGGUUUUCAGGGUGUCACAUUUCUCCCACCUUAAAAAAUUUGGUCCUCCAAAUUUAUCAUGAAUAGGUCUGGAAACCUUUCUCUCAUCUCGCUCUCUAAUUCCCACGUUGCCUCUUCUGGAGUGUAGUGUUGCCACUAUACCUUCACCAUGGGAAUCCUCUUGUUGCGCAAAACCUUGUUGGUCUAACCAAGUUUGUCCGCGGGAAGUUUCUCU
rnacentral:lncRNA from 1 species